UACAGAGGGUGCGAGCGUUAAUCGGAAUUACUGGGCGUAAAGGGCGCGUAGGCGGUGAGAAGGGUGUGAUGUGAAAGCCCUGGGCUUAACCUGGGAAGUGCAUCGCAAACUAUCUGACUGGAGUAUAUGAGAGGGUGGCGGAAUUUCCGGUGUAGCGGUGAAAUGCGUAGAGAUCGGAAGGAACGUCAAUGGCGAAGGCAGCCACCUGGCAUAAUACUGACGCUGAGGCGCGAAAGCGUGGGGAGCGAACAGG
rnacentral:rRNA from 1 species